rnacentral:rRNA from 1 species
CAGUCGCCGCGGUAAUACGUAGGUGGCAAGCGUUGUCCGGAAUUAUUGGGCGUAAAGGGCUCGCAGGCGGUUUCUUAAGUCUGAUGUGAAAGCCCCCGGCUCAACCGGGGAGGGUCAUUGGAAACUGGGAAACUUGAGCGCAGAAGAGGAGAGUGGAAUUCCACGUGUAGUGGUGAAAUGCGUAGAGAUGUGGAGGAACACCAGUGGCGAAGGCGACUCUCUGGUCUGUAACUGACGCUGAGGAGCGAAAGCGUGGGGAGCGAACAGGAUUAGAUACCCCCGUAGUCCCUGUCUCUUAUAC